rnacentral:rRNA from 1 species
CAGUACGUGAAAUUGUUGAAAGGGAAGCGCUUGCAACCAGACUUGCGCGCGGCGGUUCCCCUUCCUUUUGGUUGGGUUAUUCCGCCGUGUCCAGGCCAACAUCGGUUCUGGGGGUCGGUUAAAGGCCUGGGGAAUGUAUCUACCCUUCGGGCGUAGACUUAUAGCCCCGGGUGUCAUGCGACCUCCCGGGACCGAGGAACGCGCUUCGGCUCGGAUGUUGGCGUAAUGGUUGUCAGCGACCCGUCUUGAAACACGGACCAAGGAGUCUAACAUCUAUGCGAGUGUUUGGGUGUCAAACCCGGAACGCGGAAUGAAAGUGAACGGAGGUAGGAAGCUUCGGCUGCACUAUCGACCGAUCCUGAUGUCUUCGGAUGGAUUUGAGUAAGAGCAUAGCUGUUGGGACCCGAAAGAUGGUGAACUAUGCCUGAAUAGGGUGAAGCCAGAGGAAACUCUGGUGGAGGCUCGCAGCGGUUCUGACGUGCAAAUCGAUCGUCAAAUUUGGGUAUAGGGGCGAAAGACUAAUCGAACCAUUAAAAAGUUACCGGUGGUUAAGUGUAACCGUGAAAGCGGUUGCAAGUGCCAGGUUCUGGCGCGACACUGUCAAAUUGCGGGGACUCCCUAAAGCUUCCGACGACCGCCUCGCCCACGAAAGUGGGAAGUGAGGCACCAGGUUAAUGGCCUCGGGUAUGGUAAAACUGUCGAAGAUGUAACAAUGGGUAAUCUGCAGCCAAGUCCUACGGGCUCUCCCCCAAAAGGGGGCGCCUACGGAUGCAGUUCACAGACUAAAUGGCAGUGGGCUCGCUCUCGAGAAAGCAGGGCUUAAGAUAUAGUCGGUCCCCUGGGGAAACCCAGGCGCAUACGCUAAAUCUGGAGUGAGGAACCCCCUCUGCGGUCACUCCAGACCUGAACGGUGCGGGCGCCCCCUUUUGUUGAAGGCGGC